rnacentral:rRNA from 1 species
ACGGAAGGCAGCAGUGGGGAAUAUUGCGCAAUGGAGGAAACUCUGACGCAGCGACGCCGCGUGCAGGAAGAAGGUUUUCGGAUUGUAAACUGCUUUCGACAGGGAAGAAAAAGAAAGUACCUGUAGAAUAAGCUACGGCUAACUACGUGCCAGCAGCCGCGGUAAUACGUAGGGAGCGAGCGUUAUCCGGAUUUAUUGGGUGUAAAGGGUGCGUAGACGGGAAAUUAAGUUAGUUGUGAAAUCCCCCGGCUUAACUUGGGAACUGCAAUUAAAACUGAUUUUCUUGAGUACUGGAGAGGAAAGCGGAAUUCCUAGUGUAGCGGUGAAAUGCGUAGAUAUUAGGAGGAACACCAGUGGCGAAGGCGGCUUUCUGGACAGAAACUGACGCUGAAGCACGAAAGUGUGGGGAUCAAACAGGAUUAGAUACCCUGGUA